AUGUCUUACGUAGAUAAGAAGGAAUGGGACUGCUGUAGCUUCGCUUCUUCUUCUGCUCGCUACCGUCGAUUAGCUCGACCAGAGGCAGGAAGAUUACGGGACUCGGAAAAGAGGGCUUCUUGGAUAAUGCGAUGGAGGUUAGCUACCUUCGUCACUCAUCACGGCCAAAGCAUUAAGCAGUUGUUUUCGGUUCGUUUUGAGUUGAGUUCCUUUCUACAAGGACGCCCACGCAGCGAGGAUAUGGGGCAGGCUACCUCACUUAGAAAAAUUACCUUUCGCCUGACGUCCUCGCGGCCUUCUCAUCGCCCUAAACGCUCCUCAAAGGCAUCUCAGUCUCCUAGUCCUCUCCUAAACCUACUCUAA